rnacentral:rRNA from 1 species
UAAGGAAUAUUGGUCAAUGGACGCAAGUCUGAACCAGCCAUGCCGCGUGAAGGAUGAAGGUCCUCUGGAUUGUAAACUUCUUUUAUCUGGGACGAAAACGGGAUUUUUAUCUCAAUUGACGGUACCAGAGGAAUAAGCACCGGCUAACUCCGUGCCAGCAGCCGCGGUAAUACGGAGGGUGCGAGCGUUAUCCGGAUUUACUGGGUUUAAAGGGUGCGCAGGCGGAUGGGUAAGUCAGGGGUGAAAGUCUGCAGCUUAACUGUAGAAUUGCCUUUGAUACUGCUCAUCUUGAGUGUGGGAGAGGUUGAUGGAAUUCCAGGUGUAGCAGUGAAAUGCGUAGAUAUCUGGAAGAACACCAGUGGCGAAGGCGGUCAACUGGCCCAUAACUGACGCUCAUGCACGAAAGCGUGGGGAGCGAACA